AUGGAAGUGAAUACUAGCAGGAUGAUAUCUUUGAAUGGUACAAAUUAUCAAGCAUGGAGGGGCAAGAUGGAGGACUUGUUGUAUGUGAAAGAAUACUGGAAGCCAGUGUUCUCCACUAAGAUGCCGGAGGGCAUUGAGGAAGGUCAGUGGAAGGUACUUCAUCGCCAAGCUUGUGGGUUCAUUCGGCAAUGGGUCGAUGACAAUGUUUUGAACCAUAUCAUUGAUGAGACACAUGCACGCACCUUAUGGCAGAAAUUGGAAGAGUUGUUUGCCCGAAAAGAAGGUACAAACAAGAUGUUCUUGAUCAAACAAUUGAUGUGCUUGAGGUACAAAGAGGGCACUCUAAUUGCAGAUCAUGUGAAUACAUUCCAAGGCAUUAUAAAUCAGCUUUCUUCAAUGGGAAUAACAUUUGAAGAUGAAGUGAGAGCUUUGCUGCUACUAGGCUCAUUACCGGACAGCUGGGAGACCUUUAAGGUCACGGUUUGCAAUUCAGCACCUAAUGGAGUUGUCACUUGGAAUCUUGUGAAAACCAGGGUACUAAAUGAAGAGUCCAGAAAGGUGGCUGAAGCCACUUCUUCCUCACAUUCAGAGGUGCUAGUCACUCAGUCCAGGGAGAGAAGCAAGAGCAGAGGUCCAGGUAAAGGGGCAGAAAGAGGUAGGAGCAAAUCAAAAAGUAAGUAUGCUGAUUAUGAGUGCCAUCACUGCCAUCAGAAGGGUCACAUUAAGUGGCAAUGUGACAAGUGGAAGAAAGACAAGAAGAAAAAGAAGAAACAAGAUCAGAAGCAAGUUGACAGUGAUAGUGACACAGAGGGCAACCGAGUUACUGCAGUAGAAGAGGACAUCAUGCUUGUUAUGCAUGAAGAAAAUGAGGGCAGAUUUGGUUCCACUGUUGAGGAGAAGAUCAUUGUUGUUUCUGAUGAAACCGUCAACCUUGUGGAUGAUGACGAGAUGAUUUGGAUAUCGGAUAGCGGUGCUACCAUUCAUGCUACAUCUCGCAGAGAGCUCUUCACUAACUAUAUAUCAGGUGAUUUUGGUGUUGUGAAGAUGGGGAACAAU
rnacentral:rRNA from 1 species